rnacentral:rRNA from 1 species
GGAUUAGAUACCCUGGUAGUCCACGCGGUAAACGAUGUCGGCUUGGUGUUUGAUGGUGUGAAAGCGCUGUUGAGUACCGAAGCUCACGCGAUAAGCCGACCGCCUGGGGACUACGAGCGCAAGCUUAAAACUCAAAGGAAUUGACGGGGGCCCGCACAAGCAGCGGAGCGUGUGGUUUAAUUCGACAACGCGAAGAACCUUACCCAGGUUUGACAUGUAGCUGCAAGCGCACAGAAAUGUGUGACCUUCGAGGGCGCUACACAGGUGCUGCAUGGCUGUCGUCAGCUCGUGCUG